AUUGAACGCUGGCGGCAGGCUUAACACAUGCAAGUCGAACGAGUGGCGGACGGGUGAGUAAUGCUUGGGAAUCUAGCUUAUGGAGGGGGAUAACUACGGGAAACUGUAGCUAAUACCGCGUACCAUAGGAUGAGCCCAAGUGGGAUUAGCUAGUUGGUGGGGUAAAGGCUCACCAAGCCGACGAUCUCUAGCUGGUCUGAGAGGAUGACCAGCCACACUGGGACUGAGACACGGCCCAGACUCCUACGGGAGGCAGCAGUGGGGAAUAUUGCGCAAUGGGGGCAAGCCUGAUGCAGCCAUGCCGCGUGUAUGAAGAAGGCCUUCGGGUUGUAAAGUACUUUCGGUCGGGAGGCGUUACCGGCAGAAUAAGCACCGGCUAACUCCGUGCCAGCAGCCGCGGUAAUUC
rnacentral:rRNA from 1 species